rnacentral:rRNA from 1 species
UCCUACGGGAGGCAGCAGUAAGGGAUAUUGCGCAAUGGGCGAAAGCCUGACGCAGCAACGCCGCGUGGAGGAAGAAGGCCUUCGGGUCGUAAACUCCUUUUGGGUCUGACGAGGAAGGACGGUAGGACCCGAAUAAGUCACGGCUAACUACGUGCCAGCAGCCGCGGUAAAACGUAGGUGGCGAGCGUUAUCCGGAUUUACUGGGCGUAAAGCGUGUGCAGGCGGGGUGACAAGUGGUGUAUGAAAUCUCCGGGCUAAACCUGGAGGGGUUAUGCCAGACUGUCAUUCUAGAGUGCGAGAGAGGGGCGUGGAAUUCCGGGUGUAGUGGUGAAAUGCGUAGAGAUCCGGAGGAACCCCAGAGGCGAAGGCGGCGCCCUGGCUCGCAACUGACGCUCAGACACGACAGCAUGGGGAGCGAACGGGAUUAGAAACCCCGGUAGUCCAUGCCGUAAACGAUGCAAACUAGGCGCUGUGGGACUCAACCCCCGCGGUGCCGCAGCUAACGCGAUAAGUUUGCCGCCUGGGGAGUACGGCCGCAAGGCUAAAACUCAAAGGAAUUGACGGGGGCCCGCACAAGCAGCGGAGCGUGUGGUUUAAUUCGAGGCUACACGAAGAACCUUACCUGGGCUUGACAUGCAGAUGAACGAGGGUGAAAGCCUGAGGUUCGCAAGACAUCUGCACAGGUGCUGCAUGGCUGUCGUCAGCUCGUGCCGUGAGGUGUUAGGUUAAGUCCUGUAACGAGCGCAACCCCCGGGUCCAGUUACACGUGGUCUGGACCGACUGCCCGUGACAAGCGGGAGGAA